UGGAAUAGCUCAGCUGAUAAAGCAUGAGACUCUUAACCUCAGGGUCAGGGGUUUGAACCCCAUGCUGGGCAAAA